UUUGGAGAUAUUGUUUUGUUAAAGAUUUUAAAGUGUUUAAGUAUUGGUAUGAUAACAAUCAGAAUCACCUGGGACAAGGAGAUAUACAACAGAAUCAGGCUGGGACAUAAGUGCUGACUGUGAGAAAUAGCGGCAGUGUUUAAUAAUGAUGUGCAGUAUUAAUCCUGAAAAGGUCAGCACAACCAUAAGAAGUUCUAGGAAACACUGGCAGAGGACUAAAAAUGGACAUCGAUAAAAGAAAUCGUAAUUUAAAUAAUCAGAAACAUUUAAAACAAAUUUAAGAUUGAAUAGUUUGUCACUGACAGACUAAGAGCAAAAUAAUUGCUUAAAACAAAGUGUUGAAUUCUAAGAAAACAAGAACCUACCAAAACCUGCAGCUAGAAAAAAACUGUUUGUGUUAUAGUGAAUGUAGUGUGUUCUAUUCUGUAUUUGGACUAAAGGAUAUGUAUAAUUAAAUUUUGUGAAAGAAAUAUGUGAUCAUGUUAAACUCAUAAAAAUUCUACCCCAAACAUUCCUGUGCUGAAUUCCAUCCCAGAAUUUUACAUUUUAAGAACAUUCAGGGAUGCUGGAAUUAGGCUGGAUUUUUUUCAAUGUCAUUCCAUCAAGGCUGGACUAUUCACCAUGGUAAUUGGAAGAAAACAUUGGUAUAUUAAAAAUUUAACAUCAGCUUCUUUUUACAAUUUAUGAUUAAAUAAGUUUAUCAUGGUAAUUAAUGCCUUUUUUUUUUGCAUGUUAUAUAGGAUUCAGAGACUGUUAUACGUAGCAGCUCCCUUUCCAAAUAGGGUUUACAGUUUUUGCAAGCCUGCGAUUAAGCUUGCGCAAGCUUAUACAUUAAGCUUGUAGUUAUACAUGCACAAGCUUGCGACUUAGCCUGUGCAGGCUUGCGGAUAAACCUGCGCAAGCUUGCAAAUAAGCUUGCGCAAGCUUACGAUUAAGCUUAAAUAUUAACUAGUUUGCAGUCAGAUUUUUUUAAAUAACUGAUCGCAAGCUUGCCGUAAGGUUCCAAUUACUAGCCAGUAGCAAGCUUGCAACAUAAGCUUGCAGCAAGCUUGUGACAAGCUUGCAAUGUUAGCUUGCGAUUUUGG